rnacentral:rRNA from 1 species
UACGAAGGGGGCUAGCGUUGUUCGGAAUCACUGGGCGUAAAGGGCGCGUAGGCGGCUGUUCAAGUCGGGGGUGAAAGCCUGUGGCUCAACCACAGAAUUGCCUUCGAUACUGGACGGCUCGAGACCGGAAGAGGUCAGUGGAACUGCGAGUGUAGAGGUGAAAUUCGUAGAUAUUCGGAAGAACACCAGUGGCGAAGGCGGCUUACUGGUCCGGUACUGACGCUGAGGUGCGAAAGCGUGGGGAGCAAACAGG